CAUAGAGCCGGCCCUGCUCGGGGGCGCUGCCCUCUGGCUGCAGAUCGGUGCUCGCCGCUCGCUGGACUCCCUCGCCCCGCAGCAUGGACCCGGCUCGCCGCCUGCUGCCCCUCGGGCUCUGCAUCGCCCUGUGCCUGGGGGGCACCAUGGCCCAGAAUAACGGCACACAAGGUACCACUGAGAACUGUAACAGCCAUGUGCUAUGCCCAGCAAACGCCAAGUGUGUGAACAACACCCACUGCACCUGCCUGGAUGGAUACCAGACAAGUGGGAAUCACCCCGUCUUCUUCACUGACACAAUGGAGAUCUGUGACGAUAUUAACGAGUGUCUGGGGCCGAGCCCGCCAGACUGCGGACCCAACGCAAACUGCGCCAACGUGGCUGGGAGUUACUACUGUGCCUGUAUCCAUGGCUACGGUCCCAGCUCUGGGAAAGCCAACUUCACGCAUGCAAAUGAGAGCACCUGCCAGGAUAUUGACGAGUGUCAGGGCCUGAGCCCGGCAGACUGUGGACCCCACGCAAACUGCACCAACGUGCCUGGGAGUUACUACUGCACCUGUGUCGAUGGCUACGAGUCCAGCUCUGGGGAAGCCAACUUCACGCACGCGAGUGAGAACACCUGCCAGGACAUUGACGAGUGCCAGCGAAACACCACAAUCUGUGAGCCCCACGGGAACUGCAUCAACAUGCUAGGGAGUUACAUGUGUAAAUGCAGUGAGGGAUUUGGGAAGAGUCAAAAGGAUACGUCUAAGAUCUGCACAGACAUCAACGAGUGCAACAAGACCCGAGAUAUCUGCGGCCCCAAUGCCACAUGUGUCAACACCUACGGAAGCUACUGGUGUGAGUGCCGGGCCGGCUACGUCCCCUCCAACAGGAACAGGACCCUGUGCCAAGAGCUCACCUGCCCCCGGCUGCCGGAUGAUGACAACUCUGCCGAAGCCAAGAACCUCCAGGGCAGCUUCCCAGCACAGGUGGGACGUCUCUGCAAGGCGGCGCUGGAGGAGCUGAAGCAGAUGAAGGCUCAGAGCGCUGAGUCUGUGAUGGGGCAGCUGCAGGGCUUCUUGGACAUUCUGGAGAAGCAGAUAAAUCUGGUCGGGCAGCAGAGCGAGAGCGUGGAGUGGAGACACCAGAUUGCAACGGAGCUGAUGGCCAUAGUGGAGAAGCUGCUGAGGACACUGGCCCUGAUGCUGCCUGACAGCACGAUCAGCGUCGCAUCCCACAAUGGCACAGAGCUGGGGCUGGCGGUCAGGCAGGCUGGGAACCAGAGCCAGGAGACGGUGACGCUGCAGCAGAGCAAGACGCAGAUGGAAUUAAAGUGGGCCGGAGACCCAGGGCAGAAAAAAGGCUUCUUGCUGGCCGGGUUGCUGACAUACCAGGGGAUGAGCCCCAUCCUGGACGGUGCUGUGCGGGUGGAGAUGCCCAAGUGGGACAAGAUCGGCCAGACGGGGAAGCGGGCACAGGAGCCCGGGCGGCCCAGCUACCGUGUGCUGUCUCCAGUGGUGUCGGCCUUCAUCAAUGACCCGAACCCCCAGGCACUCGGCCUCUCUGUCAGCAUCCGCUUCAGCCACCCGGUGCCGGAGAACAAGACUGACAUGCGCCUCCUCUGCGCCUACUGGAAGCCUGACAGCAGGCGCUGGGCGACCGAUGGCUGCACCCUGCAGAAGUUGAACACCACCAUCACCCGCUGCCAGUGCAACCACCUGACCAGCUUCGCCGUGCUCAUGGCCUUCUACGAGCUGGAGGACUGGACCCUGGACCUCAUCACCAAGGUGGGGCUGGUGAUCUCGCUGCUGUGCCUGCUGCUGUCCAUCAUCACCUUCCUCUUCUGCCGCGCCCUCAAGGGCCCCCGCACCACCAUCCACCUGCACCUCUGCCUGGCGCUCUUCAUCGCCUACACCGUCUUCCUCACCAGCACCUCCAGCACCGGCAACAGGGUGGUGUGCGGCGUGGUGGCCGGGCUCCUGCACUAUUUCUUCCUGGCCGCCUUCUGCUGGAUGUGCCUGGAGGGCGCCGAGCUCUACCUGCUGGUGGUUCAGGUCUUCACCCCCCACGGCCUCAGACGCCGCUACAUGUUCCUGCUGGGCUACGGCGUGCCGGCCCUCAUCGUGGGCGUCUCGGCCGCCACCUACAGCGAGGGCUACGGCACGGCGCGCCACUGCUGGCUCUCGCUGGAGAAGAAAUUCAUCUGGAGCUUCCUGGCGCCCGUCUGCAGCAUCAUCGCGGUCAACGCCGUGAUCUUCGUGGUCACCGUCUGGAAGCUGUCGCUGAAAUUCGCUGACAUCAACCCCGACAUGAGCCAGCUGAAGAAGCUCAGGGUGCUCACCAUCACGGCCAUCGCCCAGCUCUGCGUCCUGGGCACCACCUGGAUCUUCGGCCUGUUCCAGUUCAACCAGCGCAGCCUGGUCGUCUCCUACAUCUUCACCAUCCUCAACAGCCUGCAGGGGCUCUUCAUCUUCCUGCUGCACUGUCUGCUCAAGAAACAGGCCAGUCCCCCCCGAGCCGGAGCUCAACCCCUGCCCCACAGCGCCCCCCCAGGAACCCUCCCAGCUGGCGCUCUCCAGCCCCUCCUCUGGCCUUUGUCUCUUUCCCGGGCCAGGAGGUCGCCUGAUCGCUUUGUUCUCCAACACCUUGAGUUAGCACCUUUGCAGGGGAGGGGCCCAGGAGACGGGGUGUCGGCCAUUCUCUGUGCAGACACCAUCACACUGGCUCUCUCGGGCUCUGCAACAAUCGCACCCCCUUAUCCCACCACCUAGAUACUUGAGAAAUGCAUAGGGGAAACUGAGGCACCCACACAGUAUUCAGAGAACAUUCCCACUUCGUCUUACCCCGCACCAGCCAGCGCUCCUGCCCCACAGUGCCCCACACUGGGAGGUCCCUCUGGUGGGAGGGGCUGGGGCUGGCUUUGCUGAGAGCUCCUGCCCUGCCUGGCAAGUUCCGGGCCCUUGUCUCCCUACAGCUGAGACCCCACCCCAUGAGCUCCCCUGUGCCGUGGAGUAACCAGCCCUCUCCUCUCUCCUGCCAGGUGAGGGAUGAGUACCGCAGGUGGCUGAGCUGCGGCGGCCUCAAGAGACCAGCCAAGUACUCCAAGUUCUCCAGCUCCAGCACCACGCGGGGGUUCCAGCCGUCACAGGAUUCGGGGUUGUAGCUCUCUUGCACUCAGCCCAUUUCCGGACACCACAGCUUUGCACAUGAGAAAACCCGGCCCCCUGCCCCCGGCCUGGCCCUGCCCGUGAGCAGAGACCCACCACGCACCCGGACUCGCCGCAUGCAGAUGCUUCAACGGUUGCCCAGCGGAACCUGCCAGGCAGCGGGGGGCACCGUUACGCUGCCCAGCUGCCCCCACCCGCUGGGCACUCACCAGCCCCAGGCCUGCGCCCGGCCAGCAUCGCCAGCAAUAGCAACGCCAACAGGGCAGCCGCUCAGCUCCGACGCGACGUCCUCUGGCCACAGGGGGCGCCUUUCCCUUUGGUACGACCGGGUCCCCGGCCCCGCCUGCGGUACGACGCUGGGCCGGGCUGAGCGCGGGCAGUGGAGAUGAAUCCAGCCAGCAGUGAUGAACCCCUCCCCAGAGGACCCCGCCCCUCCCCCCAGGCACUGCAGCACCAGCCACCGCCCUUGGCUUCGAUGACGGUACGACACGGCCGGAGCUGAAGCAGGCAAGCGGCCCCAGCCUGCGGCGGUCCCCAGGGCUCGGCUGUCUGUCUCACUGGGGACACUGGUUUUAAAAAUGAUCUUUUUAAAGUUAUUAAAAUAUUAAGUUUUGUGGCUU